rnacentral:lncRNA from 1 species
AAUAACCUCAAUAAUAAUAUUUCAUUUUUCCGCUCUCAAAUCUUAUAACCCCAAUAAUUAUUAAAUUUUCAAAAUACCCCAUACACACUGAAAUUCAAGUAUAAUGAAUAAAAUACAUCAUUAAUUAAAUAAAAUAUUAUAUUUAAAAGUUGGGAUGUUACGAUAUCAUGGGCUUCCAAAUGUAUAGUGUGGUAAAGUUGGGCGUCUUU